AAGAACAUUAUUUUCAGUAACUUUUAAACAGAAAUCACUGUAUGAACAUGGCUUGCACAAAUUCUGAUGGUUGAAUUUGAAGAAUUAUAGAUAACUUUGGAGUUAUUGCGAUUGACCGAAAAUCGACGAUAUUCCGAGUGAAGAAAUCACUGUAUAAACAAGGCUUGCACAGAUUCUAAUGGUAAUAUUCAAGAACUUACUGAUUUUUUCGGAUUCAUUGCGUUUGGACCGAAAAUCGACGAUUUUCCAGAAAUCACGAUAUAAACAUGGCUUGCACAAAUUCUGAUGGU